rnacentral:rRNA from 1 species
UGGGGAAUAUUGGACAAUGGGCGGAAGCCUGAUCCAGCAACGCCGCGUGAGGGAUGACGGCCUUCGGGUUGUAAACCUCUUUCAGCGGGGACGAAGCGCCGAUGAUGGUGGUGACGGUACCCGCAGAAGAAGCACCGGCCAACUACGUGCCAGCAGCCGCGGUAAUACGUAGGGUGCGAGCGUUGUCCGGAAUUAUUGGGCGUAAAGGGCUCGUAGGCGGUUUGUCGCGUCGGGAGUGAAAACACCGGGCUUAACUCGGUGCUGGCUUUCGAUACGGGCAGACUAGAGGCAUGCAGGGGAGAACGGAAUUCCUGGUGUAGCGGUGAAAUGCGCAGAUAUCAGGAGGAACACCGGUGGCGAAGGCGGUUCUCUGGGCAUGUCCUGACGCUGAGGAGCGAAAGUGUGGGGAGCGAACAGGAUUAGAUACCCUGGUAGUCCACACCGUAAACGUUGGGCGCUAGGUGUGGGGCCUAUUCCAAUGGGUUCCGUGCCGCAGCUAACGCAA